rnacentral:rRNA from 1 species
UGGGGAAUAUUGCACAAUGGGCGCAAGCCUGAUGCAGCCAUGCCGCGUGUAUGAAGAAGGCCUUCGGGUUGUAAAGUACUUUCAGCGGGGAGGAAGGGAGUAAAGUUAAUACCUUUGCUCAUUGACGUUACCCGCAGAAGAAGCACCGGCUAACUCCGUGCCAGCAGCCGCGGUAAUACGGAGGGUGCAAGCGUUAAUCGGAAUUACUGGGCGUAAAGCGCACGCAGGCGGUUUGUUAAGUCAGAUGUGAAAUCCCCGGGCUCAACCUGGGAACUGCAUCUGUUACUGGCAAGCUUGAGUCUCGUAGAGAGAGGUAGAAUUCCAGGUGUAGCGGUGAAAUGCGUAGAGAUCUGGAGGAAUACCGGUGGCGAAGGCGGCCCCCUGGACGAAGACUGACGCUCAGGUGCGAGAGCGUGGGGAGCAAACAGG